rnacentral:rRNA from 1 species
UGGGGAAUAUUGCACAAUGGGCGCAAGCCUGAUGCAGCCAUGCCGCGUGUGUGAAGAAGGCCUUCGGGUUGUAAAGCACUUUCAGCGGGGAGGAAGGCGGUGAGGUUAAUAACCUCAUCGAUUGACGUUACCCGCAGAAGAAGCACCGGCUAACUCCGUGCCAGCAGCCGCGGUAAUACGGAGGGUGCAAGCGUUAAUCGGAAUUACUGGGCGUAAAGCGCACGCAGGCGGUUGAUUGAGUCAGAUGUGAAAUCCCCGGGCUUAACCCGGGAAUUGCAUCUGAUACUGGUCAGCUAGAGUCUUGUAGAGGGGGGUAGAAUUCCAUGUGUAGCGAUGAAAUGCGUAGAGAUGUGGAGGAAUACCGGUGGCGAAGGCGGCCCCCUGGACAAAGACUGACGCUCAGGUGCGAAAGCGUGGGGAGCAAACAGG